rnacentral:rRNA from 1 species
AUUGAACGCUGGCGGCAGGCCUAACACAUGCAAGUCGAGCGGGGUUUUCGGACCUAGCGGCGGACGGGUGAGUAAUGCGUAGGAAGCUGCCCGAUAGAGGGGGAUACCAGUUGGAAACGACUGUUAAUACCGCAUAAUGUCUACGGACCAAAGUGUGGGACCUUCGGGCCACAUGCUAUCGGAUGCGCCUACGUGGGAUUAGCUAGUUGGUGAGGUAAUGGCUCACCAAGGCGACGAUCUCUAGCUGGUUUGAGAGGAUGAUCAGCCACACUGGAACUGAGAACCGGUCCAGACUCCUACGGGAGGCAGCAGUGGGGAAUAUUGGACAAUGGGCGCAAGCCUGAUCCAGCCAUGCCGCGUGUGUGAAGAAGGCCUUCGGGUUGUAAAGCACUUUCAGCGAGGAGGAAGGGUGGUGUGUUAAUAGCACAUCAUUUUGACGUUACUCGCAGAAGAAGCACCGGCUAACUCUGUGCCAGCAGCCGCCGUAAAAC